rnacentral:rRNA from 1 species
AAGCUGCGUCGGGUCCCGUUAGUACCUAGAAGGGUGACCGCUUGGGAAUACGGGAUGCUGUUGGCA